rnacentral:ncRNA from 1 species
AAUUAACACAAUCCCGGGGCGUUCUAUAUAGUUAUGUAUAAUGAUAUUUAUAUUAUUUAUGCCUCUAACUGGAACGUACCUUGAGCAUAUAUGCUGUGACCCGAAAGAUGGUGAACUAUACUUGAUCAGGUUGAAGUCAGGGGAAACCCUGAUGGAAGACCGAAACAGUUCUGACGUGCAAAUCGAUUGUCAGAAUUGAGUAUAGGGGCGAAAGACCAAUCGAACCAUCUAGUAGCUGGUUCCUUCCGAAGUUUCCCUCAGGAUAGCUGGUGCAUUUUAAUAUUAUAUAAAAUAAUCUUAUCUGGUAAAGCGAAUGAUUAGAGGCCUUAGGGUCGAAACGAUCUUAACCUAUUCUCAAACUUUAAAUGGGUAAGAACCUUAACUUUCUUGAUAUGAAGUUUAAGGUUAUGAUAUAAUGUGCCCAGUGGGCCACUUUUGGUAAGCAGAACUGGCGCUGUGGGAUGAACCAAACGUAAUGUACGGUGCCCAAAUUAACAACUCAUGCAGAUACCAUGAAAGCGUUGGUUGCUUAAAACAGCAGGACGGUGAUCAUGGAAGUCGAAAUCGCUAAGGAGUGUGUAACAACUCACCUGCCGAAGCAACUAGCCCUUAAAAUGGAUGGCGCUUAAGUUGUAUACCUAUACAUUACCGCUAAAGUAGAUGAUUUAUAUUACUUGUAAUAUAAAUUUUGAAACUUUAGUGAGUAGGAAGGUACAAUGGUAUGCGUAGAAGUGUUUGGCGUAAGCCUGCAUGGAGCUGCCAUUGGUACAGAUCUUGGUGGUAGUAGCAAAUAAUCGAAUGAGACCUUGGAGGACUGAAGUGGAGAAGGGUUUCGUGUGAACAGUGGUUGAUCACGAGUUAGUCGGUCCUAAGUUCAAGGCGAAAGCCGAAAAUUUUCAAGUAAAAAACUAAUGACUAAAUAAAUAUAUAUACAAGCCAAAAAUAAUAUACUUGAAUAAUUUUGAACGAAAGGGAAUACGGUUCCAAUUCCGUAACCUGUUGAGUAUCCGUUUGUUAU